UUAAGCGACUAAGCGUACACGGUGGAUGCCCUGGCAGUCAGAGGCGAUGAAGGACGUGCUAAUCUGCGAAAAGCGUCGGUAAGGUGAUAUGAACCGUUAUAACCGGCGAUGUCCGAAUGGGGAAACCCAGUGUGAUUCGUCACACUAUCGUUAACUGAAUACAUAGGUUAACGAGGCGAACCGGGGGAACUGAAACAUCUAAGUACCCCGAGGAAAAGAAAUCAACCGAGAUUCCCCCAGUAGCGGCGAGCGAACGGGGAGCAGCCCAGAGUCUGAAUCAGCUUGUGUGUUAGUGGAACGGUCUGGAAAGUCCGACGGUACAGGGUGAUAGUCCCGUACACCAAAAUGCACAGGUUGUGAACUCGAAGAGUAGGGCGGGACACGUGGUAUCCUGUCUGAAUAUGGGGGGACCAUCCUCCAAGGCUAAAUACUCCUGACUGACCGAUAGUGAACCAGUACCGUGAGGGAAAGGCGAAAAGAACCCCGGCGAGGGGAGUGAAAAAGAACCUGAAACCGUGUACGUACAAGCAGUGGGAGCACCUUCGGGUGUGACUGCGUACCUUUUGUAUAAUGGGUCAGCGACUUAUAUUCUGUAGCAAGGUUAACCGUAUAGGGGAGCCGCAGGGAAACCGAGUCUUAACUGGGCGUUAAGUUGCAGGGUAUAGACCCGAAACCCGGUGAUCUAGCCAUGGGCAGGUUGAAGGUUGGGUAACACUAACUGGAGGACCGAACCGACUAAUGUUGAAAAAUUAGCGGAUGACUUGUGGCUGGGGGUGAAAGGCCAAUCAAACCGGGAGAUAGCUGGUUCUCCCCGAAAGCUAUUUAGGUAGCGCCUCGUGAACUCAUCUUCGGGGGUAGAGCACUGUUUCGGCUAGGGGGUCAUCCCGACUUACCAACCCGAUGCAAACUACGAAUACCGAAGAAUGUUAUCACGGGAGACACACGGCGGGUGCUAACGUCCGUCGUGAAGAGGGAAACAACCCAGACCGCCAGCUAAGGUCCCAAAGUCAUGGUUAAGUGGGAAACGAUGUGGGAAGGCACAGACAGCCAGGAUGUUGGCUUAGAAGCAGCCAUCAUUUAAAGAAAGCGUAAUAGCUCACUGGUCGAGUCGGCCUGCGCGGAAGAUGUAACGGGGCUAAACCAUGCACCGAAGCUGCGGCAGCGACACUAUGUGUUGUUGGGUAGGGGAGCGUUCUGUAAGCCUGCGAAGGUGUGCUGUGAGGCAUGCUGGAGGUAUCAGAAGUGCGAAUGCUGACAUAAGUAACGAUAAAGCGGGUGAAAAGCCCGCUCGCCGGAAGACCAAGGGUUCCUGUCCAACGUUAAUCGGGGCAGGGUGAGUCGACCCCUAAGGCGAGGCCGAAAGGCGUAGUCGAUGGGAAACAGGUUAAUAUUCCUGUACUUGGUGUUACUGCGAAGGGGGGACGGAGAAGGCUAUGUUAGCCGGGCGACGGUUGUCCCGGUUUAAGCAUGUAGGCUGGUUGUCCAGGCAAAUCCGGAUAAUCAAGGCUGAGGUGUGAUGACGAGGCACUACGGUGCUGAAGUAACAAAUGCCCUGCUUCCAGGAAAAGCCUCUAAGCAUCAGGUAACAUUAAAUCGUACCCCAAACCGACACAGGUGGUCAGGUAGAGAAUACCAAGGCGCUUGAGAGAACUCGGGUGAAGGAACUAGGCAAAAUGGUGCCGUAACUUCGGGAGAAGGCACGCUGGUGUGUAGGUGAAGUCCCUGCGGAUGGAGCUGAGACCAGUCGAAGAUACCAGCUGGCUGCAACUGUUUAUUAAAAACACAGCACUGUGCAAACACGAAAGUGGACGUAUACGGUGUGACGCCUGCCCGGUGCCGGAAGGUUAAUUGAUGGGGUUAUCCGUAAGGAGAAGCUCUUGAUCGAAGCCCCGGUAAACGGCGGCCGUAACUAUAACGGUCCUAAGGUAGCGAAAUUCCUUGUCGGGUAAGUUCCGACCUGCACGAAUGGCGUAAUGAUGGCCAGGCUGUCUCCACCCGAGACUCAGUGAAAUUGAACUCGCUGUGAAGAUGCAGUGUACCCGCGGCAAGACGGAAAGACCCCGUGAACCUUUACUAUAGCUUGACACUGAACAUUGAGCCUUGAUGUGUAGGAUAGGUGGGAGGCUUUGAAGCGUGGACGCCAGUCUGCGUGGAGCCAACCUUGAAAUACCACCCUUUAAUGUUUGAUGUUCUAACGUUGGCCCCUUACCGGGGUUGCGGACAGUGUCUGGUGGGUAGUUUGACUGGGGCGGUCUCCUCCCAAAGCGUAACGGAGGAGCACGAAGGUUAGCUAAUCCUGGUCGGACAUCAGGAGGUUAGUGCAAUGGCAUAAGCUAGCUUGACUGCGAGCGUGACGGCGCGAGCAGGUGCGAAAGCAGGUCAUAGUGAUCCGGUGGUUCUGAAUGGAAGGGCCAUCGCUCAACGGAUAAAAGGUACUCCGGGGAUAACAGGCUGAUACCGCCCAAGAGUUCAUAUCGACGGCGGUGUUUGGCACCUCGAUGUCGGCUCAUCACAUCCUGGGGCUGAAGUAGGUCCCAAGGGUAUGGCUGUUCGCCAUUUAAAGUGGUACGCGAGCUGGGUUUAGAACGUCGUGAGACAGUUCGGUCCCUAUCUGCCGUGGGCGCUGGAGAAUUGAGGGGGGCUGCUCCUAGUACGAGAGGACCGGAGUGGACGCAUCACUGGUGUUCGGGUUGUCAUGCCAAUGGCACUGCCCGGUAGCUAAAUGCGGAAGAGAUAAGUGCUGAAAGCAUCUAAGCACGAAACUUGCCCCGAGAUGAGUUCUCCCUGAGACUUUAAGUCUCCUGAAGGAACGUUGAAGACGAUGACGUUGAUAGGCCGGGUGUGUAAGCGCAGCGAUGCGUUGAGCUAACCGGUACUAAUGAACCGUGAGGCUUAACCUU
rnacentral:rRNA from 1 species